GUAUUUGUCACAACCAUUUCGCAUUUAAUUUUACUGUUUCUCCAUACGAUGACAGGGAAGUUGACGCUUACAUUUUUCCAUCGAUCAUUCUAACAGAAACACGUGUUGCGUGCGCAAAUACUUUAAUUUGGGUUUUAUAGUGAAGCUGCGCAAAAGGAGCUUACAUAGUUUGCAUUUGCAUUAGUAUGCCUGCCGCAUCGCCCGCUGCUUACGGAGGCUGUUUAAAAGGGACUUCCCCAGUGAUUUUUUUUAUAUAAAAGACGACAUUUGCGAAAAGCCUACUCUGCAGUUUACACUAUGAGUGAGGAGUUGAUACCAUCAACUGAGCUGUCGUUAUUUGCCGAGCAAUGUCCGUAGUGAGAUGAGUCCCCUACAACGAAAAAUGUCGACAAUGAGUCCGUAGUAAUUUUGGAUAGUGAUGAACAGUUAAUUAAUUUAUCGUGUUCGUGGGAUUUGUCGUCGAUCGCUCGAUAUAAUAUUGCAAAAGUUCUAGAUUAUUUCAUAUAUCAGAAGAAAUAUUUUUCUUUGGAAGCGUUUAACUAUAGAAAACAAUUAUUUGCUUAUGAUCCAUCUCACGUCAAAAGUUUAAGUAAUCUUUUAACGAAGGCUCAAAUUAUGACUAAUAAUAUUAAAAUGAACGCUUCUGAAAUGAAACUUUUUUUGAAUACUAUUUUGUUAAUGAUUGGGGACUUCAUAGAUGAAUUUUAUUCAGUAUAUAAAUUUUUAAUAACGUUUAUUAAAAUUGUUGAUAUUGUUAUGGAUGAGGAGUUCAGUGACAAUAUUUUGAAUGAGCU